GUGGGGAAUAUUGGACAAUGGGGGGAACCCUGAUCCAGCCAUGCCGCGUGUGUGAAGAAGGCCUUUUGGUUGUAAAGCACUUUAAGCGAGGAGGAGGCUACCGAGAUUAAUACUCUUGGAUAGUGGACGUUACUCGCAGAAUAAGCACCGGCUAACUCUGUGCCAGCAGCCGCGGUAAUACAGAGGGUGCAAGCGUUAAUCGGAUUUCCUGGGCGUAAAGCGCGCGUAGGUGGCCAAUUAAGUCAAAUGUGAAAUCCCCGAGCUUAACUUGGGAAUUGCAUUCGAUACUGGUUGGCUAGAGUAUGGGAGAGGAUGGUAGAAUUCCAGGUGUAGCGGUGAAAUGCGUAGAGAUCUGGAGGAAUACCGAUGGCGAAGGCAGCCAUCUGGCCUAAUACUGACACUGAGGUGCGAAAGCAUGGGGAGCAAACAGGAUUAGAAACCCUAGUAGUCC
rnacentral:rRNA from 1 species